CCCCUAGAUGUUCUGGGCCGCACGCGCGCUACACUGAACAGUUCAACAAGUCUUAACCUUGGCCGAUAGGUCUGGGUAAUCUUUGAACGCUGUUCGUGAUUGGGAUAGACCUUUGCAAUUAUGGGUCUUCAACGAGGAAUUCCUAGUAAACGCAAGUCAUCAGCUUGCAUUGAUUACGUCCCUGCCCUUUGUACACACCGCCCGUCGCACCUACCGAUUGAAUGGUCCGGUGAAAUCUCGGGACGGCGGCUUGGUCGCUUGCGUCCGACUGCUGAAACUAGAUUAAACCAUAUCAUUUAGAGGAAGGUGAAGUCGUAACA
rnacentral:rRNA from 1 species